GACGAACGCUGGCGGCGUGCUUAACACAUGCAAGUCGAACGGAAAGGCCCUGCUUUUGUGGGGUGCUCGCGUGGCGAACGGGUGAGUAACACGUGAGUAACCUGCCCUUGACUUUGGGAUAACUUCAGGAAACUGGGGCUAAUACAGGAUAGGAGAUCCUGCUGCAUGGUGGGGGUCGGAAAGUUUCGGCGGUUGGGGAUGGACGCGCGGCUUAUCAGCUUGUUGGUGGGGUAGUGGCUUACCAAGGCUUUGACGGGUAGCCGGCCUGGGAGGGUGACCGGCCACAUUGGGACUGCGAUACGGCCCAGACUCCUACGGGGGGCAGCAGUGGGGAAUAUUGCACAAUGGGCGGACGCCUGAUGCAGCAACCCCGCGUGCGGGAUGACGGCCUUCGGGUUGUAAACCGCUUUCGCCUGUGACGAAGCGUGAGUGACGGUAAUGGGUAAAGAAGCACCGGCUAACUACGUG
rnacentral:rRNA from 1 species